rnacentral:tRNA from 1 species
GUCACGAUCGACUAACGGAGAAGUCACCCGAAAGGGGCAAUAUUGGUUCAAAUCCAAUUCGUGAGA